UACGAAGGGGGCUAGCGUUGCUCGGAAUCACUGGGCGUAAAGCGCACGUAGGCGGAUUGUUAAGUCAGGGGUGAAAUCCUGGAGCUCAACUCCAGAACUGCCUUUGAUACUGGCGGAUCUUGAGUCCGGGAGAGGUGAGUGGAACUGCGAGUGUAGAGGUGAAAAUUCGUAGAUAUUCGCAAGAACACCAGUGGCGGAAGG
rnacentral:rRNA from 1 species